GUAGGUGGCAAGCGUUGUCCGGAAUUAUUGGGCGUAAAGCGCGCGCAGGGCGGUCCUUUAAGUCUGAUGUGAAGGGCCCACGGCUCAACCGUGGAGGGUCAUUGGAAACUGGGGGACUUGAGUACAGAAGAGGAAAGCGGAAUUCCAAGUGUAGCGGUGAAAUGCGUAGAGAUUUGGAGGAACACCAGUGGCGAAGGCGGCUUUCUGGUCUGUAACUGACGCUGAGGCGCGAAAGCGUGGGGAGCAAACAGGAUUAGAUACCCUGGUAGUCCACGCCGUAAACGAUGAGUGCUAAGUGUUAGGGGGUUUCCGCCCCUUAGUGCUGCAGCUAACGCAUUAAGCACUCCGCCUGGGGAGUACGGCCGCAAGGCUG
rnacentral:rRNA from 1 species